AGUGAACGCUGGCGGCAGGCCUAACACAUGCAAGUCGAACGGCAGCACAGUAAGAGCUUGCUCUUACGGGUGGCGAGUGGCGGACGGGUGAGGAAUACAUCGGAAUCUACUUUUUCGUGGGGGAUAACGUAGGGAAACUUACGCUAAUACCGCAUACGACCUACGGGUGAAAGCAGGGGAUCUUUGGACCUUGCGCGAUUGAAUGAGCCGAUGUCGGAUUAGCUAGUUGGCGGGGUAAAGGCCCACCAAGGCGACGAUCCGUAGCUGGUCUGAGAGGAUGAUCAGCCACACUGGAACUGAGACACGGUCCAGACUCCUACGGGAGGCAGCAGUGGGGAAUAUUGGACAAUGGGCGCAAGCCUGAUCCAGCCAUACCGCGUGGGUGAAGAAGGCCUUCGGGUUGUAAAGCCCUUUUGUUGGGAAAGAAAAGCAGCAGGUUAAUACCCCGCUGUUCUGACGGUACCCAAAGAAUAAGCACCGGCUAACUUCGUG
rnacentral:rRNA from 1 species